UACGAAGGGUGCAAGCGUUACUCGGAAUUACUGGGCGUAAAGCGUGCGUAGGUGGUUCGUUAAGUCUGAUGUGAAAGCCCUGGGCUCAACCUGGGAAUGGCAUUGGAAACUGGCGACCUAGAGUGCGGUAGAGGGUAGUGGAAUUCCCGGUGUAGCAGUGAAAUGCGUAGAGAUCGGGAGGAACAUCCGUGGCGAAGGCGACUACCUGGACCAGCACUGACACUAAGGCACGAAAGCGUGGGGAGCAAACAGG
rnacentral:rRNA from 1 species